CAAUCCUUUAAUACACAUUCUUACACUUAGUUGCUUCGAGUCCAACUUGAAUGGUGAAUAUUUCACAAAUCCUGCUGAAAAUGGAUACUAUCGAGGCAUUAUUUGGGAACUGUGGCUAGGUGACUAUUCUCUAAGAAAAUCGACAAUGAUGAUAAGACCUAGAGAUUUCGAUGCCGGAACCCACCAGCCCGUUCCGCCGGAUCCAUAGCAGCCAACAGGGCCAACCUUCCAGGGCAUAAGCACAGCUUCAAUAACUGAACCUUCAGGAGGCACAACCACUAGGAAUACUGUUCCCUGGGUGGAAGGAACAGAGGUGAACUAUGCUGCUGCCCACAAGGGAGGAGGCAGGACUAAGGAACCAAUGCCUGGCCCUCACAAUCGGAAAACUGAUCAUGAUGAUGCUUAUUUAUAUGACUCCCACGUAGUGAAUGCUAGGGAUAGUGGAGCCGCACACCAAACUUCUCAUUUAUUUAUGAUAGUUGCCACUAGUCUUCUUAUAGAAGCUUUUAUUAUCAGUAUAUAAUAGGACCUAGUUCUGGAAAGAUCAGUAUUGUAUCUUGCUUGAGCUAACACAGAUCAUGCAUAAUCUGGAAAAAUUAAAAUAAUAAAAAACAGUUAAAGAUAGCUUUGUUAUAAUUUAUGUAUUGUGAAAUCAAGUAAAAUAAUAAAUACAAUUUUAUCACAUA